rnacentral:rRNA from 1 species
UACGGGAGGUGCGAGCGUUGUUCGGAAUGACUGGGCGUAAAGCGCACGUAGGCGGGUCUUUAAGUCGCCUGUGAAAAGCCCCCGGGCGUUAACCUGGGAAUCGCAGACGAAACUAGAGAUCUUGAAUGCCUGAGAGGUUGAUGGAAUUCUUGGUGUAGGAGUGAAAUCCGUAGAUAUCAAGAGGAACACCGGAGGCGAAGGCGGUCAACUGGUGGUGCAUUGACGCUGAGGUGCGAAAGCGUGGGUAGCAAACAGGAUUAGAACCGA